AUACGGAGGGUGCGAGCGUUAAUCGGAAUUACUGGGCGUAAAGCGCGCGUAGGCGGUUUGGUCAGUCGGAUGUGAAAGCCCCAGGCUCAACCUGGGAAUGGCAUUCGAUACUGCCUGACUAGAGUAUGGUAGAGGGAAGUGGAAUUUCCGGUGUAGCGGUGAAAUGCGUAGAUAUCGGAAGGAACACCAGUGGCGAAGGCGACUUCCUGGGCCAAUACUGACGCUAAGGUGCGAAAGCGUGGGGAGCAAACAGGAUUAGAAACCCGUGUAGUCC
rnacentral:rRNA from 1 species